rnacentral:rRNA from 1 species
GAUGAACGCUGGCGGCGUGCCUAAUACAUGCCAGUCGAGCGAACAGAUGAGGAGCUUGCUCCUCUGACGUUAGCGGCGGACGGGUGAGUAACACGUGGAUAACCUACCUAUAAGACUGGGAUAACUUCGGGAAACCGGAGCUAAUACCGGAUAAUAUAUUGAACCGCAUGGUUCAAUAGUGAAAGACGGUUUUGCUGUCACUUAUAGAUGGAUCCGCGCCGCAUUAGCUAGUUGGUAAGGUAACGGCUUACCAAGGCAACGAUGCGUAGCCGACCUGAGAGGGUGAUCGGCCACACGGGAACUGAGACACGGUCCAGACUCCUGCGGGAGGCAGCAGUAGGGAAUCUUCCGCAAUGGGCGAAAGCCUGACGGAGCAACGCCGCGUGAGUGAUGAAGGUCUUCGGAUCGUAAAACUCUGUUAUUAGGGAAGAACAAAUGUGUAAGUAACUGUGCACGUCUUGACGGUACCUAAUCAGAAAGCCACGGCUAACUACGUG